rnacentral:lncRNA from 1 species
AAGAGGGUGAGGUGUGGGGGUACCGUCCUGUAGGCAGGGCUGUGUGUGCCCCCCGUGUGUGCUUGGUGAGCUGCGUUCUGAGAGACCCCCUGUACUCAGGUGGGAAUGUGGCCCCGGCCUUUCAGAGGCGCGGGGCCGUGAGAUGCGGGGUGGGGCUUGCGCCCUCCCUGGAAUCGGGGCUGGGAUCCCGACUGCGGCCUUUGGCCGUGCCGCCCCGCUGCCUGGCUGCUGAGAGUUGCUCCUGCCGCUGGGGGGGAAACCGAGCUCUGUGGCUCCAGGGGUGUUGUCCACCCGCCUGUAAUCAGGGUCUGGGUGCGCGAGCGUUUGUGCUCUGCUGGCAGCCUGUGUGGGGUGACCGCCCCGCUAGCGGGGUGUGGGUCGAGGUGCCCCGGACUGGGAGAGAAGGAGCCUCCCUCGGCCGUAGGGAUGGGGGCCGCCCUGUAAGUCAGGGAGCAUCUGUGUCCCGGAGUCCCAGGCCCUUUUCAAUGGCGGCAGUGGCCGGGGGUCCCCUGUAAGCAGGGAAGCUGACUCUUUGGCUGCUGCUUUUUGUGUGCCCAGCCCCAUUUGCCCGGUCUGCCCGCCUCUGUGAUCCCCCGCAGCACUGGCUGGAAGUCCGCCGCGUGUCAGUGAGGAGCUGCUGCAGAAGGAAGAAGAAGAAGCGGCGUGGGGAGCUGGGAGGCAGGAGCAAGCAAGAAGAGGAAGCGGAAGCGUGCAGAUGCGGGGGGGAAGGAGAGAGGCUCCCUGGGCAAAGCACCUGUCCCGUUAGCAGGGGCACAGUCACGUUUGAGUUGAGAGCUGCCGGCGCCUUUGGUGACCAGGCUGGCGUUGUGCUGGGCGACCUCCCCGUAAGCGGGGCUCGGGUCUUUGCUGUAGUUGGCCUUUUGCCUUGCUGCUCCUUUGGCUGCCUGGGGAGCGUGGCCCCCUGUAACGGAGGGCGAGAGCCACCUCUCCGCACCUGAGUGGGAAAUGGAGCUCGCCGGACCCCGAGGCCACCCUGUAAGCAGGGUAGUGCCGUUUCCCUGCCCCUCUUCCUCCCCCGGCCCCUCGGCAUCGUUGCCUGAUGGUGGCUUGUCAACGCGACGGCCCCGUACUCGGGGUGUGUGUCCCAAGCUUCGGAGCCCUCUGUCCCUGAGCAGCCCGCCCGCCCUGUAAUCAGGUGUGGGGAGGCUGCAGCGUUGCAGCCGGCUGCUUUAGCCGUCCAGCUGGUGGGAGUGACCCCUCCCUGUCCCGUCAGAGGGUGCAGGUUGAGGUGCUGUUUGUGUGUGGGGUGACCUCCCCGCUCGGUGGGUCGAGGUAGCUCCCUGGGCUUCCAAAGACGAGACGUUGGUGAUGUUCUG